CAUAGAUUAUAAUUUAUUACGGCUGAUUUAUAAAUUCUGUUUGCUAUAUAUGCAGGUUCAAAUCAAGAAGUGCACAGAAGUGCUGAAGUACUGCCGCUGUCUCACCAGGUUUACAGGCUAAAGGUACUACAAAAUGAGGAGCUGCAGUUCCAUUUCAUUUGGAAUGUUUCAUGGGAAAGCACGGAAUAAAUAAUGAGCAAUUAUCAGAGCAAUGCAAACUGACCUAGGCUGGAGGAAAGAGGAACUGGAAAAAUGAUCUUUCCUAUUUUCUGCUCUGUGAUUCUGUGAUUGCUGCUUGAUAGUCCAUGUGUGUGAAGAGUUCAGAAGCCUGGAGAUUGGUAGGCAAGCAAUGAGAAAUCCAGAGAUGGGUCAAGGCCUCCUCACGGUCUGAAGUCCAUAGGCUGCUUUAUUUUCCAAAUCUGUAUCCAGAGAAGCCAAACCAAACCAUUCACUGCACACCUUGCCUUGCUGUAAUUUACAUUUGGCAUCAGGAUGCAGCUGUACUGACUCUUCUAAUGUAAGACAAGAUCAUACUCAUCAUCCCAUUUUUAAAUAUUCCUUGCGUUUUUGGUUUCUUGUAGUACACAUCCUACCAGACCAUUAAACUAUCAGCACUGUUGUGUUUCUAUGAAAUUUUCCUUUUUCCUGCAGCUGUUGAAAUGAAUGAUGAUGAUGUACUUCUUACAAAAAAGCAUCUAACUCCCACACCUCCCCUGAGCCUUCGGAGCUGUUAAAAGUAAAUUUAAGGCCUUUAUCCUACCAUCAAUUCACAAAGACUGACAGUAGAUUUGAUGUGGAGUCCACAACAUGCCACCAGGCAUGCGUUAUUGGGGUUAAAAUCUGAACUCAUUUCUCACCAGCCCAAUUUGCUCUAGUGUCCAGGCUUUAUGCUAAUCCAGAUCAGUUGUGUGCAAUGAGUGGAGAUCAAAUAAAAGUUUUUUUUUCUAUUAGCUUGGAGGAAAAAAUGCUUAGUGGGCAAGGAAGCUGGGAAAUUUUGCUUUAUGAAAUAAGAGUUUUCUCUGUCUUCCUCUCUUUCUUAGAAUUUUACAGGUAUUAAGCAUGAGACAAUUUGUAUUCGAGUUCCAUAAUGGAAUUCAGCUGAAUGAAUGAGUACUAAACAAACUGAGAUUGGCCAUUUCUUAAAAAAACACAAAGAGUGAGAUGCCUGCAGAUGAACCAAAGCUGGUUCAGACAUAUUUUGUAAUAUCCUGGUGAUUACCAGAGCUGGGAGAAGUAAGGGAAAAGAUUGUCUGGGAAAGGUGGAACUUCAUUUUGGUGGUAGAGCUUUUUCCAACAACCCCAAGCAUUUCCCAGCCUCAUCAGAAACUCUCAGAAGGUUGUUCCAUUUUGUGUGUGUAUUGUUUUUGUUGUGGUUGUUUCUACAGGGAUAAUACAAGGACCUUCCAAUGAGAAGUGACACAUUGGCAAGGGUUGAGAUGGAUGAAGAUGAUUCACGCUAAUAAUCUCUAAUAAUCAACAGCAUUAAGAGCUGGUAUAAACACAUUCAGGCUGUAUUGCACCCUGAUCCAAAGGAUGGGCUUGUUUACCCUUCAUGUCAGUGAGAACCACUCAGGAAGCACAGAGGGAGUGGCUGUUCCUCUACAACACACUUCCCUAGCCUUAGAUCUGAGUCACAAAAAGGAAUUCCAGGAAGACGUAAGGCAUUCUGGAGAAAAUAUAAGAAAAAAUGAAAGGGAAAAGGAAAUAAAAAUGAAAAAGGGUUAUGGCACUGAGACAAUCUGUACAGGGGACCUGCAGAAAACUAUCACAGCUAGUGCUGGGAAUUCAUGCUAAUAUAAAUAUCAAUUUGCGUGCUUGAAUUUGAAAACUUACAUCUGCUUGGUUCGGUAUAGUUUGUAGUCACAUUCUGUGUGUGUGUGUGUGUGUGUGUGUGUGUGUGUCUUAAACUUCUGAGUGUAUUAGCCAAUAGCUAAAUCAGAUGAAGGGGUCCAGGACAGUAAGACUUGGGAUAAUUCAAUUCCCUUGAGGAUUUUGGAACACAAACACUACAGAUUGUGCCAAAGUGAAAACUAAGCACUCUGAGAAAUUGUAUUUGUUCCCUGGUUGUACAUCACUUAAAGGAUAUUCUCAAAAGAAAUGAGGAGACCACAGGAAAUGCUUUUAAGCUGAUAUGCCGGAGGCUUAGAGCCAUGUUAGUUUUCUGAUAUGGGCUAAAGUUGCUUUAGAGUGCUUUGAUGGUGAAGAAGUGCUACUUCUGAGAUGACUUAAUCCAAACUUUUCUACACUGGCUAUAUUCUGCCUGGUAAAAUAUCACAAAUACAGAAUAAAGCAAGAGAACAGCCUCUACUGGAGAUACGUAUGUAACAUCAGAGACCAAGAACAGGUAGAACAAAACCCACUGUGCAGCAUUAAAAUUAAAUGGAGCACAGCCUUAACAGAGAGAGUCAUAUCCUCAGUCCCUAAACUGCAGCCGGGGAGAUGGGUUGGUCAGUGAGCAGCUACGGUCUUUCUGCAUUCAUUAUUAUUUAUUUAGUCUGUGCAUAUAGGAGCUCAGUCAUAGCUGAAGAUCAUUGCUGCCUGCACUGUGCAAACCUGAAAAAAACAGAUUCCACCUCGUGGAGGGAUGUGGACACACCCUUCACCUGGAGGCAUUUGCUUGGAGCAGGUGAUGGAGACAGAACUGGGCUUUCUGCUGUUUGCUGCUGCUCUACCGUCUGGACUGCCUUAGAGCAUCAGAAGGUGAUACUUCCUCAUGGUAAUAUUAUCCAGUAUUAAGAACCUGGGAGACUUCAUGUAAUGAUGUCAUCUCACAUAUUCUGGCAGAAUAUUAUAUGAGUAAAAUAAUUGAAGUAUAUUUUGUGGCACACCAAUAUGAAAUGCAAUGACAAGAUCUAUACCAAUAUGAUGACUAAUUCGGGGUGAAACUUUCAAGAAACCAGCAAUGGCUGGAACCACCUUGCAAUGGUAACAUGACUGUUUCCUUAGGGCCUUCCUUUGUCCAGUGAACUCGAUUUCCUUUAGGGUUGUUUAUGUCUUUAGGUCUUUGAAAAACUUCUGGCAACUUUCUUUUCUGUUGUGGUUAAGCAGAUGCAUUAACUGCCAGAAGGCAAUAAAAUUCAAGAAGUCAAUAGUGAAUAAAGACAACCAUUAAUCUUAUUUGGCAUCUACAAACCAACUAAAACUGAAAUGGACUUUACGCAGACAUAAAAUGCAGUUUAUGUGAUAAAGCUCCUUGUAGAUCCCAAAUCAACCUAGCAUCUUUUCCUACUUGGAAUAUCAAGAAUCUGGAUUUCACUUGAUAAUGUGGUGUAAUAUACUAGAUUACAACUGUGUAACCCUGGAAAGCACUUAAAAAAUAGCUUAUUCCAAGGAUUUCAAACCUGUGUUUAAAAUUAAGCACCUUGUAAAAUUGUAAGGAAUUGGUAGUUCUGUUUUUCUAGCUGCUGGGUGCUGAAAACUUCUGAAUAUCUGGCAAUGGCAAAAAGUGAAUAAGACAAUUUUCUUGAAUUGGUGCCUGAACCUACUAAGUUUGUGAGCACUCCCAGGAAACACAUCCAAGGAUUUAUCUGAGAAUCAGCACAUCACAAGACCCUUAGGGAGGCUUCUUUCAGUCCUUCGUAGAUUGUAUGGCUCCAGCCAGCUGGAUGUAAGUCAUUAAAGCUCCUUAUUCUAUCCAUUAGUAGAUUCAUUAAUAUUUCUCUGUAACUUGGGACACAACAUUUCUCAUGCCAAGCUUAGGAAAGUUUUCUCUUCAUCUAAUUUUGACUUAGAGACAGUUAUAAGGACCAAAAGUUCACCACUGAGAGGAGGAAAAACAUUUUGUAAAAUUUAAGUCUGCAGAGUCUGUAAUUCUGCGCAAAGCAGUAGAAGAAUUUCACUUCAGAGGUUAAAGUCUUCCACAGAAUUGUUGACUGUAGGGGUAUUUAACUCUUGUCAUUGGGCUCAGUAUUCCUCUCUGAACCUUAUUAACCUAUUAGAAGCAAGGCAACGAGCUUUUCAAGGCAGGCCUCAAGAAGAAAAACAAGAAAAUACAAAGUAUGUCUCCUUCUAGGAGCUGAGAAACUGGAUAAUCAUGGUGCUAAAUUGUUCAUAUGCUCCAGAGAUGGUUAUCACUAGAAAGCAGCCAACUUAAGCACAAAUAAUUGUUUUUGGGUAGAAAAACACAAUCCAUGUAUUCUUUCAUAUACACGUAGACUUAGAUAUACAUUUAUUCUUUUAUAUAUAUAUGUAUACAUAUAUUAAAUCUAUCUAUAUAUAUAUAAAAUGCUAACUAUCAUAUAAGUAUAUAUGACCAUAUAUUUUAACAGCAACAUCUGGGUUCUCAGUGGAAUUUAUGGACUUGCAUUUGAAGAAUUUUUCUGUAAACUUGAGGGGAAAAAUAGAACAACCUUAACUAUUCGAUUCCUCCAAGAAAAAAUUCUUCAGUGCUGAAACCAGCUGGAGCACUAAUUGUUCUCUGAAAUGUUUACUUGGUUACUUUUCCAAAAGCAAACAGUAAGCAGUAGCUCCUCAUCUCUUACCAUGUUGUAAUUCAACCUUAAUGUCAGAGGUUAAGCAUUUACUUUUUGCUCUUGGACAUACGUGAGAAAACUCAUUAAGUAGAUUUUUUUUUUUUAAUAAAGGUCCGUCAUUGCUAAGAGGAAUUUAUGGAAGAAGCAAACUAGGGGCAGCAGGAAUAGGCUCAGAGCCCUGCAGGGUGUACAUUGUAUUGCCAAAGUCAAUAUUGCCUUUCUGUACACAAAACAAGGAGCCCUCAGGCUCCAAAAACAAGUACAAAAACUCCGUUUCUGCAGGUUUUUGUUUUAGCUUUCCAUCUGGGCUAUAGUGUUCUGAUUCUUGCAUGAACAGCAGUACUACUUGAAUUUGACUUUCUCUUCAGCAUUUUCUAUCUACUUGGAUAUUUGUAGCAUUUCUCCACUGACGAGAGGUUAACUUCUUGUCCUCUGGUUCUCUUGUGUUUACACUCACUGAAAGAUCGGUACAACUCUCGAUAAAGUCUGUGUAGACAAAGCAGGACUGGAGCUGUGGUGUAGGAUAGCUGCUAAGUCAAACAUUCUAAUUGAGAAAGACAGAGCUUCAUGGCCAGGGGGGCUAAUGUAAGGAUAGGAUGGACAGUGGCCCAUGGAGACAGUUGAAGAAUUGACACAGUGCGUUGAAUCCCAUGUAUUUUGAGCUUUGUCGUUCGGAGAUCUUUUUGGGGCACCAUGAGGUCCAGCUGCUGAAGGUGUGGAUUUAUGGGAGGAUUGCUAGGCCUCUGGCACCUUGACCAGCAAGAACUUCUGCGGAGAGUGACAGGUACCUUCAGCUGAGCAACUUCUACCACUGGCUCUUAGAUUGCAGCCAUGUUUCCUCUGGUGAGUGGCAGCAUUGGUUAUGAUGAGCAGAGGCUCUUGUCUCCCUGCUUGCCACGUCUACCCUCAGCCUUUCAUCUCUGGUUCCCAACAAGUGGGCUUGAUCUGAGCAUGAGGUAAACAGAGGCUAUCAGAGAGACUGGUGACACACUGCCAAGGCAGGACAGGGACUUUUCUGGCCUUCCAUGCCAAAUUCCUCAAUACAUUAGACAUGGAUCCUCAUAGAAAGAAAAUUCAAAGGGCCAAAAUACACAUCUGUCUGUGUCUCCUUGCUUCUUGUAAUCCUUCUCCAACAUCGUAUGCACCUUUCUUCCUCUGCCUCAGCUCAGAACUCUUUGUUCUGUUGAGGCUUCUGCAUGGCUGAGGACUUCAAAGCCUCUGCUUAAUUUGUGUUUGUACUUCUAAGUACUGAAUGAAGGUGUUUGGCGGAGGCAGGUUCUUUCAGAGUGUUUGUGCAUAAACAUGAAAGUUACAACCUUCUGCUCCUUGCUGCUUUCAUCUUUUCAGGCUCAGAGAUAAAAAUGUAGUUGAGUUUUUGGACUUUACAGAAAGUUUUAUUAAAAGAAUGACUCAGGCUCAGAAGUUCUGCUGAGCUCCUUUUCUCUUUCUCCAUCUCUUUCCUUUUUAAUUUUUUUUAAUUUUCCUUGUUACUUUCUCCUACUUUAUCCUUUUCAAUCGAGCACUGGUAUCAGGCUGUUUUGGUUGAUGUCUUGUUGCAUUAUUGCUUUGUGGGGCACCAGGGCUGUGUAUCUGGCAGCUUCCUUUGUUACAGACCCUCAAUCUGUCUACUGCACAGCUCCUGUCACCACUGAUGAGGGUGAAAAUAUGUGAAAAACUGAGUGUUUCAGCAUCAUGUUGCUAGUUUGUAUCCAGACUGCCAUGGGGAGAUGUACUAAGGAUACCUUUCCAUUGACAACAGAGGGAGCACAGAUGACUAACUUCAAUAUCUACUUUUCAGAUUUUUUUCCCUGUAUUUUGGGAGGUAGUCAAGCUCAAGAAAUCUUUCAACACAAAGGUGAGAAUUGGAGCAGGAAAAGCAAUGAUCUUUUUGUACACAGAAACAUCAUCCACCAACACAGAAAUAACUUCUCUCUCAGGUUUCCAGCAGGUUCCCAGCUUCCUUUUCUUUGUCACUUUUCGGGUGGUUUGGUCUACUUAUAUCUAUCAAGUUGCAUUUCUUAUAUUGAUACCAACUGUAAAGUAGCACUGGCAUGUAAAACAGCACAAUAUUUCAACUCUUGGUACUUACAUGCCUAGGUUAUGGUGGCUGGUAACUGUAAAGAUGUUAAUGAUAAAAGCAGAGGUAGGAUCAGGGACUCAUGAGUCUAUGCGUUUUAAUCACUACAUCACAGAAGUAGAGCAGUGUUAUAUAUGCAGGUCAGUGACAUACGAUACUUAUUUUGCUGAACCUUCCAUUAGUCCCAAUUUUCUUUUCAUCUUCCAACCAAAAUCUCAGCAAUGAGUGUCCUAGUUACAAAUACCAACUCUUUGGAGAAAUUAUCAGGCAUCAGGACAUUAGUGAGCGAAUCACGCUAGUUACUUGUAGGAUGAGCUUCAUGUACAUAAGGCUCCUCUUGGAAGCUUACUUUACUUGCUUGACUUGACUUUUGUGUCAGCUGCAAUCUGAUAAUUUAACUGUUAAUGACUUGUACCAGCACAAUUGUUGGACUUCCAUCACUCAUUCUUUAUGAAAUACUGUAAAAAAUUUACUGCCCCAAAGGUUAUAUAGAGCUUAGGUCCAAGAGGUAUACUUUUAUUUUUUUUCUAAUGCUGAGCACAGUAGCUAUAAUAUAACCUUUCUGUGCUUGAAAUAAACCUUGCUGAACUCCAUUACAACAAAUUUCAGUGCUUCACUUCAAGCACUUAAUUUGUAUCUAGAGAAACAAAAAAACCCAACUAAUAUCCUGCAAACUCUUUUAUGUUAUUGCCAAUGUGACAUUCAUCCACAGACACCCCAUAUUUCCUGGGAUUAAGAUACUGGCCAUGCUGAUUAGACUGGGCCAAGGAUAUAGGAUAUCGAGUAGAAUUUGAAGCACUUUCUUUUUAAUGAAUAUUUUAAUGAGGAUUUUCUAUGUUCAAGUUCUAUCACCUGCAUUGACAUAAAAGUGCAAUGCAAGCUUUCUUUUGAAGUCCACUAGGAUUUCCUUAAAGUUAUGGUCAGAUAAUUUCAUUGCUUGCAACUAUCAUCUCCCAGGUGAGAGGAGUCAAUUUCCUGCAUACAUUUGUGCAAACCAUUUCCAGCAAAUGUUGUUUAAGAUAUCCCUUUUUAUUUUGCAUUACAAGAUGCUGGAAGCACAGCAGCUUUCAAUUUCUGCAGAUCAGCUAAGGGUAGGUAAGUUCUUUAAAUAUGUAUUAGUAUAAAUUCAAUAUAUAUUGAUGUAAAAAAUGCUUGUUGGUUACUUGGGACCUGCGACCCUCCCUUUGCUAACUAGCGUUACAAAAUCCUUAGAAAUCUUGAGUUGUUGCUGAGAGAAAUGCCAUUGAGAUUUUUUUCCCCAUUCAUUUUUCUAAAUUCCUCACAUUGCACUUGGUUGAAAAUCUCUGUGGUCUCUGGGGUUUGGGGCAGGAAGAAUUUGUAAGCCAGUAAACCAAAGUGAUGCCCAGCUGAGGUACUGCCAUCCCUCUCUGAAGCCCACGUCCUCUCAGACCUCAGUGAGCAUCUGGACAGCAGUCACCCACAUAGGGCACAUUAAAGGAUUAAGGCCUUAAUGACAAUUUCAAAAUGUCAUUAUUAAAUGGGGACUUCCAUCCUGCAGAACACUUGAAAAAUAACAUUUGUAAAUGUUUCCUGAGCAGCAUAUUCCCUUUUACAUUAUCUCAUCUAUUUGUAUGUUAAUAAGAAUUCAUCUUUCUUUCUAUUCAGUCUCUGCUUGAGCAGUUCAACACUGAAUUCACGAUUCCGUGUUUUGUGCUGUCAAGAUUUUACUUAUAUUUUUAAAAAAUAGUACCUCAAUAAUUAAUUACAGAUAAAUUAUUGACAAAGCAGCAGCAGAUGCAAAGGAUGAGUGCUCUGUAUCUGAGAAGCUUUUCAAACAGUUAUCUUUGCAAUAGCACUGAUCCAUAUACUUUUUAUAUUCUCUUCUCAGAAAUAAAUCCAUGCUCGUUUAGCAUUUGUUGCUUCAUGUGAUACUACAAACUACUGAGAAAAAUUAGCAUUUCAUCUCAAAGUAUUUCCUUAGCCAAUAUACAUGUCUGUUAAAAAUAUCUCCCAAGAGAAAAAUCUACGAGUGUAUCUACACUUCACUUCUGUGAAGAAAGCCCUGCAUAUUUAGGAAGCAUAGCUUUGCUAUCAGAGAAGCUGUCAAGUUAACUACAGAUAUAUAAUUCUGAAAUGUUCUGCUUGUUUAAAAACGCUCACAGUCUGAAUGUUCAUAUAUCAUUAGGAAGAAUACUGCAGUUAAUUAGUUACAUAGUUAGUUCAAAAAUGUUGUUGAAACUUCAAUGCCAGCUAAAAGAAUGUUUUCAGUCUCUUUUUCUGAGCUUUGUGAGUUUCUGUGAAUCUCUAAGCCUCAGUAACUUUUUGGCUACACAGUGUUAGUCUGAAGUAACACGAGUUAUGCUGACUCCCUUUGGAGCUACUGACCCAAAGCCGGAAGGCACCUCUGGAGUUAUUCAUUCCAGCCUCCCUCCUGAAGUGGGAUCAAUGCCAAGUGCAGGUCAGGUUGCUCAGGGCUUUGGGCUGAGUAUGCAGAGUCCUCAGACUUUCUGGUUCCUUGUUUCAGUGCUUAGUCCUGGUGAAGUGCAUUUUUUCUCAUGUCCUUGUGAUUAUUGUCCCUCAACCUUUAAUUGUGCUUCUACAGGAGGAGUAUGUCUGCUUUUCUGUAACCUCCUUUCAGGUAGCAGAAGACAACAACCAAAUUCCUCAUCACCUUUCUCAGCUCUAGUCUGAACAUCUCUAAUACUUUCAGCCUCCCUGCAUGCAGAAUGUGCUCCAGUCCGUGCUGGUGAACUUUGGCGGGGCUCUCCCCCAGGAUGUCAGCAAACCAUGUUGCAUCUGGUCGGUCCCAUCAGGUGUGUGUGUGCACAUUCGCUGUGAUUCAAGUGGCACACACACCAGCCUGCUAAUCUGUGAUAACCUGUGGUGUAUCUGAGCAAUGGUAGCCAGAUCUAGAAACAUGCAGCUUUCUUCCAGAUCUCCAAAUCAGACUAUAUCAAUACACUCUGAUAUUUCACAUCUCUGCAGAGAAAUGGCUUUGAAGGGCUAACUGUGGCAGACAGAGUCCUCCUCUUUAAUGUGACUGUAAAAUAUUUAAGAGUUUAGACUAAGGAAGUAAUUUCAGGGCCUAGUUCAACAUUACAGCUCUCCUCAUGAAGAAUCCAUCUUCGAAGAGCUGCUCCAAGGCCAGGGAUGCCAAAAAGAAUAUUUCCAUUGACUUUCGUACACUUUGCUUUCUGUUCUAAAGACAAUCCAAUUUUCAACUAAGCUAUCAAUUCCAUUUGGUGUAAAACAUGGGCCAAUUUCACAUUUCAGCUACCUCAAGGAGAGAGGACUGCACAGCUGGACUUCUGUUUUCAUGAAGCACAGCAUAAAAACCAUGCUUCUUGUUAACAACACCAAGAGCUCUGCAUGGGGAAAUGAGCUGCCUUUGGAAAGCCACAACUCAUAUUUUAGCCUCAGAAUCCUUUUCUCUUCUAAAGGUCACAGUGCAAUUUUAAACUCAGAAUAUUGCAAUGCAUUUAAAUGUCUGAAAUCUAGGGUAAAGAAGAUUUACUAAUAUGAAAUAGAAAUGAAGAAAUCGCAUUUACCUUCCUUCUGCCUGAACUGACUCAUCCCAGGAAUAACAAUUUCAAGCACUGGGAAAAUAAAACUGGCCUUUUGGUGCCAUAACCUUAAACUUGAGACCUUGCUGCUCGUCAUUGCACAGAGGGGUGAUAGCCUCUGCAGUAAGAGGGUGUCUUGGUGCAUCAGGAGAGUGCCGUGGGUCUUGUUCACUGUGACUUUAGCAGGUGACUUUCGACACUGUCCACAGUUACCUCCUCAUAGGCAAAUUGACGAAGGAUGAGGCAGGUAAAUGGAAAGUGAUAUGGAGAGAAACUGGCUGAACAGAAGGCCUAGAAGUACAUUAUGUAAUAUUGGGUAUUCUAUCGAGGUCAUUAGGAACUGAUAAAUCCUGAAUACUGUUUGGAGAGAAAUUCAGAGCAAGACUUUAUAGUAACUGAGAACAUUUAUUUAUAACACAAAAUUAUGAUAGGCAUAUGUUAAUUUUUCUCCACUAAAAUUCAGGCUUUUCUACAAAGAGUAUUUUCCGAGGAAGUGCCCUGUUAAAGUAUUUGAAUCUUCAAAACAUACUGGUUGUUCUAUCUAUAAGACAGUAAAAAACAGCAAAAUACUCUCGUGAUUAUAUUUCCUUACUAAAAAAAAUUGAUUAAAUAGUAACUACAUCAGUAUGUGUGUAUUGACUUUUAUUCCUAACACUGAUUUAACUGCAAAGGCCUGGUGAAAUAGAGAUCAAAGCAUCUACCAAGCUGCUCACUUAGCUCUUUAAAAGCAUAUGGUACUUAGGAAAGAAUAUAAGAAAAUGAUGGUAAAUAGAGAUUUACAAUGUAAUUUGUAAUGGAAGUGUAAUUGGGGGCUCAUUGUACUAAACCCUGUUGAGGAGAAAAAGCAUUGGACUCUGCCUGGAGAGAGAACAGGAUGAAAGACAAAGUUUUAUUGCAUUUUUGCCUAAAGAGAAGAUGAAUAACUGAGUCACACCAGAAACCUGAAUCAGUACUGAAUAUGAAGGCUGGAUCUGAGUCCUAAUCUGAUGUCCUCAUGCUAAAACAGUCUUUCCUUGUUUUACAAGGGGAAGAGGAAAAGCUGUAUUCCAAAUUACCUCCUCACUAUGCACUUGAAUUAAGGAACAUAAAGGAGUGGACUGCACUGUGCAAGCAGCAGUGGACUGGCAUGAAGACAGAUGGUGUCUGGGAUGAGACGGGGUGAAGAGAAGAAGCAAAAGGGUUUUUUCCAUUGUGGCAGAGCUCGGUCAUGGAUGUGGCGUCGGGAGCUGUGGAGGCCGUGCCCGUGGGGAGAGCAGGCUGGGGGGCCUCUGAGCUCCUUGGAGCACAGACUUCCCAUCUGCUGUCCCUCUGGAAAGGGAAUUCCAUUGCUGUUCUUCACAUGUGUACGAGCACCUGCUGCUUCUUGCCAGCCUUUUCUGUCUGGCCAUCUCCAUGCCUGAGGAGGUCUACUAGGCCCAGGGGUGGCAGGGACCUACACUCAACUCUGUUCAUGAGGAAAAUCUCCCUUAGCUUUGCCCCUCUGGCUUUUAACAAGCGUCUUUCCUCUCCCAGGCACGUGUUAGGAUUUUGGCUGAGCUGGAGCUAAGGCAAUGGCAAAACGUUUGACUUUCUGGUAACAGGUUCCCUACAGGAGAUUCCCCAGACCCUCACUGCGGUCCCAUAUCUCUCCUUGUUGUCCCACAGCAGGUUGUUUCCAGACAUGGAGGGAGACACCUCAAUACUGCCUCUGCUCCUUGUAGAUCUGAGCUGAUCUCAGCAUUUUCUUAUCAGCAUGCGCUGAGAUGUAUGUCUAGAAAUCAGUGAGUACCCCAUGCCUCUCUUAUCUGGGAUCUCAGCCUGACCUUGGUCUGUAAGCGUGUUAAAUAGCAGCUUCCAGCAUGUCUUCUUUCAUCUGUGGCUUGUAUUUGUGAAAAGCAGAAAACAUGUCUAAUUUACAUCAGUGCAGCUGGCUCCUCUGAUCUGCCACCUGGAGACUCGGCCGACCGGGAAUGGGUGUCUGUAAAGGCUUCUGCUUCCUCUGUUGGUGCCUGUCUCUGCACUGGCCAUGGGGCAAAAGUACCCCUGACCCAUCUCUCAGGAACCUGGUGGACCCACUUGCAGUGGGUGUUGUGUACUGCAAGAAGGAUGCACUUGUCCAAGCAGUGCAGCAGACUCCAGUGGUCCUCUUCCAAGACCGCCAGUGCAGAGAUUUAAGUGAAUUUAUGGAGACAGACCAGGAAAAUGGUUCAUGCAUGUGUGUGAUGGAGUGGCAGGCAGGCAGGUCUCAGGCCUGCUCAGAUUCGCUAGCCACUUAGAAGCUGGACUAAUAGUAUCCAGUUGGAGAAGUAGUGUAUUGCCCUUCAUACAGGGCAAAAGGUAAGUGCAAGGCCAAUUAACAAGGCAGGAGAUGUGGCUGUGCAGCAGGAGGGGUUUUCUGAGGGGAGAGUUCACAACAAGAUUAUUGGGUGUCUGUGACACUUUUGAUGUUACUGGGAGGAACCCAUCAAUGACAAAACUGUGAUGCUGCCAGUAGGUGCCUGACAUACCUGGGGCUCUGUAUGUCCCUUGAUGAAAGUCGGAGCUCCUCAAUGAGGAGGGAAGAUUGUUCUCACUAAAACAAAACCCAAUGAGAUAGGCAGAGGAGAUUUACGCUGGACGACUCCUUUUUCUAGAAAUAAAAUCACCUCAAGCACAGCACAGUAGGGGUCAAUGUGAAAAUGAACCAACUGAAUCCUGUGCUGUCCCAGGAGUGGACAAACUUUUUUUUUUUCACCCGUGAGGAUGUGCCCUGGGACCUCCCUGCUGCUGUCUGACCUUCCAGCCAGUCAAAAAUCAACUCAAACCUCAGGACAUGGCUGGCUCUCCUAGAGGCUCCGGAUGAGAGAGACUGGGUAGAUGAACUCAGUGUGGUAGUUUCUCUCUUUGCAUACUCCUGGAGGCGCAAAACUGGUUAAAAGGAGGAGGGUGGACUGGCCAAGAAACGGAGUGAAACAAAGCCCUGGCUGAUGUCCAGUUCCACGUGACAGAUAGGGCAAGUUGUGUGCCCAGCCCCCUUCAAGGAAGUGCUUGGAUCCCAGACAUAGCACCUCUCCUUGGCCAGGACAUGGUGUGAGUGAUCCUACUAUAAGCUUCUCCCUGGGAACCAAGAUCUAUGAAAAGAUAUGAGAAAAAUCACCUAAACCUUGAUGGCAGAAAGGCAAAGAUUGAGAACACCCCAUCCCUGCUCAGGCUGCAGCUCCUGCAGCAGAAGUGGUGAUUACAGCACCUGGGUGUGUGAUGGGAUGGGAACUGCAGUGGCAAGUGGGGACAAGGAUCAGGCCCAGAAGGGAACUGUUCCUAGUCAUGCACUGCAGACUCCAUAUGUAGCGAGCUGUGAUUGCAGCUGAAGCUUUAAUGAACUUAGAAAAUAAAAUGAAACCGAGAGCUUUGCCUGCUCUGAAGUUCUUUAGACAAAAGUAAGCAGGACUCAGAAGGCAAGGCAAGCACUUCAAACAUGGCAUGUCUCCACCUGUGAGGCAUGUCAGCCCCCUGGGCAGGUCUGCAGUUCCACACCAGCUCAUUUGCCCCACUACUGCAGUAGAGGUGCACCCCAGACCCCCAGACAAGCUGCAUGGAGAAGAACAGCCGGUGGCAUCAGAAGAUGGGCGAUCUCAUUGCCAGGCUGGGCCCAGGGACAAGGAGUGCCACGAGCAAGUGGGUUCAGAAGAAGCAGAUCAGGAGCAAUCCAUUGCUGAGCGCAGCGCCAUGUGGCGGGGCUGCCUGAAUGCAGCCACAGAGCCCUCUGGUGUUGUCUGCGGGGCUGCAGACCAGCCACGAGAGCAGUCUUUCAUGAGACCAAGGAGAGUAAAACAUUACUUAGCUUUUACUUUUUUUUUUUUUUUUUAAUGCAUUUCUUUCUUUUCCUGUGCAGUUUUUAGCCUGUGGGUGUUACUAGAAGGCAAGAAUGGGAGGAAUGGAAUGAUCUGAGUUCCCCUUCUGCAGGUCUUCCAGAGAGCUGUACAUGAGGAGAUUUGCACUGGAGCUAUGCCCCCGGUGUUACCUUUAUUCAUUUGUUGAUUUCCACAAAAAUAUUUUCCCUUCUUGCCAGAAGAAGUCCAAACCUCAGUAACUUAGUGCUUCAGCCAACAGAAGUCUAUAAAGAGUUGGUUUACUUUUAUAACUCCUGUUGAUAUAUUUUUUUUCCCUAUGGAAAACAAGCGCUUUUUUUUUUCUGAAAGGAAAGGAAAAAACACCCUUUGGCUGAGCUGUCAGAUCUCUGCAGUCCGAAAGUUCAGGCAGCUUUUCUUUGGGUGAUAUUUGAGCCACAAUGGGCUGUUCCAUCCAACGCUUCAUACACCAACCUUUACAAUCUUUGUUACAAAAAGAAAAAUGGCGAGUAGAGAAGAAAGGAGGGAAGGUUUUACCAACCACCUUCUUCUUUCAUAAAGUAGGAGUUAUAUUUAUCCCUUUCUGUAGUGCUCUAAGGUUUUCUCCUUCACCUUUAAAACACCUAAAUUGCCAAAUAACCCCUUUCACUGCAGUAUCUCCUUAAGGGAAGCUGCCUCAGACAGGAGGACUUUUGAAGAGCCAGGAGUCUUGCUCCAGGGGAAUCCCCAGACACACAGUACUGUUUUCUCCUAACAUUCAUCAACUGUUGUAUGAGUGUCCGGGAAUCCUGGUCAGUGUAAAAGAUUACAGGACUUCUUUAUUUACGAUGUCACAGGUAUAUGUCUCCCUCUUUUUAAUGGUUUCAGAAAAUGUGAAGCCAGAAAGGACUAUUAAAUCAUUAUAAUUUGCUCUCUGAUGUGUAAUAUCUUCUAUUACAUAGGUAUUAAUCUCCAGCAGAUACCGCCCACAAGGUAAAAAGAUGUCAUCAAAGCUAAGAAUGCUUUAAAUCUACAGUAGAGGAAAAAUGGGUAGAAGAUACUUGUGAAAAGAUGUCCUGCACUGAUAAAAAAGUAAGCAAGAAAAUGCCCCAAGGACACUGGAUCUCAGCACUAAAUCCAAACCUCUGGAAACAGCCUCCAUAAGACAAACAAGGAAAGAAAUAAACCCCGCUGUCCUGCCAAGAGCAGCCACAUGCUUCCAGUAUCUUCAUUCUCAGAAGGCAUGCUGCUGUCAUCAGGAUGAUCCAUGCAUGGAGGAGAGCAAUGAGGCAUGUUUGGACCCAACAUCUCUGCAGCUGAACAGCAUUGCCAGCACUGUGCGCAAGAUCUACGGGCAGUUAUCCUAGCUGAAAAUCAGUGCCAAGCUGUGGAAUGAAAACAGGAAAGCCCACUUCACAGAGGACAGGGAUGAAACCUCAUAACUCAGCUGUCAAGGGGAGCUGAGCCCCAGCACGAUGUGAUGCAGAGGUGUGGUACACGACAUCUGGGCACUCCUGGUGCGCUGCUGGCCACAGCCAUCUGGGGCAAACCCCCAGACUUGCAUGAGAAAACAGCAGCACAUACUUUCACAUGCAAAUUAAUACUCAAGCAGCAUUUGUGGAAGAAAGAAGGAUGAAGAUGCUAGAAAAAACUUGAGGUGUUUGAUUGUUUUCAAGUCAUUGUUAUGAGGAAGAAUAUGUUUGCAGAAAAACCUUGGCACCUCGUCUGAGUUCUCACAUUUCCCUCUCUGAACUCCACCCCUCUGAUGAAGAACCAAACAGGAAUGGGAGCAGCUGCUCUGUACAGAAGAGAAAUGCAGCGCAUCAGCAUCAGGAACAAUAAACACAAAUCAGAUGGAAGAAGCUUGCAGUGCAGUAUUCUCAGUUUAUUCACCACUGUAUUGUGGAGAGGGGGGAAAUGCCUCAGAGAUAUUCAAACUGCAGAAACCAAUGUUGAUUCCCAGUUUUCACUCAAGCUGUUUCAACCAAAUAUACCACAAGAGUAAGAAAGUCUGUGAUAACAAUAUAAACUGCCUUCUUUUUUUUAAAACAAAGAUAGUGGGAUUUCAAGUAAAUUUUCCAUCUAGGUAGCACAUUUCUUUAGGGAUUAACAACGUUUUUGCUUAGGUAGAACAUUCAUUCCCCAGUGAUGGACUGCUUUGAUCAUUAGAAUAAGCUGCCACUAAGGUGUUAUCUUGUUCUCUAUCAGUUAUUCAAGGUUGUUGAAAGAGGACUAAACCUCUUUUGAAUAUUAAGUAUUCAGACGUUCUUUUUUACUACGUUCAAACUAGGAAAAGCAAAAGUGUGGAAACAGUGAUCCUCUUUUGUCUAACUAAUGGUUUCCAGUCAACUGGGAGUAGGAAGUACUGCCCCAUAUAUUGACAAGUACUCCAAAGAGUUUUUCAGAUGGAGGUAUAUCUGCAUAGUGCUGUAGAGGCAUUGUGACUAUUGUGCAGAUGCAGAAGGGGCAUGGCUUGGCCCAUAUCUGAGCUAUAUCCUAAGGGCAUUGGAACCCUUUGAGACAGCAUGUGUUUAUUAUUAUACAAGUUAAAUUUCCAUGCAGUAUCAUCUUCACUGUGAAUAGGACCUGGGAGAAUAAAACAAUCUUUGGCUGCUGUAGUCUCUCCUUGCUAUAGUGAAUAAUUAAUCCUUGAAAAAAGGUGACUCCAGCGUUCUUUUAUCAUCUGUCAAAGUAGCUCUGGUACCAUUCCAUCUCUCACUCUACAAAAAUUUAAGAAAAUGAGAUCUGGGGAUGAGAAUGUAUGUUAUUUCAUAUUGAUAUUACAAUGUUGGUUUGGCAGGUUUGACUAAAUUUCUUAAUGGGAAUGUGUGGAUUGUUUUUUUUUAUAAUACUAUGUUCUUGGACACCUAAUAGUUCUUUUGGAACACUGAUUUUAAAAAUCUGUAUUAUUUCCCAUCUCUGGCUUGCAUCAUAUCCCCCAGCAGCAAACUGAAGGUAAACCACUAAUGCUGCAUGCCUUGUUCUCGUUUCUCCAAAAAGAAGCAUCUGCUCUUUUGGAGCAGCAGAAGCUCAGGGAGGAGAUCACAGUCUACCAGAAUGUGUUAGCUUGGUGCAGCACUGACCCAAAGCUGUCCCCAUCUCUCCCACUCCUCCCAAAUCAUACAAUCAUGGAAUCAUAAAGGUUGGGAAAGGCCACUAAGAUCACCAAGUCCAGCCAUCAGCCCAUCCCCACCAUGCUCAGUAAACCACGUCCCUCAGUGCUACAUCUACCCUUUUCUUGAAAACCCCCUGGACUGGUGACUCCACCACUUCCCUGGGCAGCCUGUACCACUACUACUAUGUCACUGCAAACAUCCAUGUGCCCCAUCAGAGGGGUUUCAGUUGGCAGCCCUCUCUUCCUCCUCUCUGCAGAAAUGGUGCCAUCGCUGCCACCUGGCUUCACUCCACAACUCCAGGGCUGGGAAAUGUCAGAAGUGAUUUCUCCAGGGACCCAUUCCAGAGCUCAAAUUAGCAAUGAACCAUAAACUGAUCAAACAUAGGAUUUUGGACUGAAUUUAUGAUGGAUUGCCCCAAAUUUAAUUUCUAGUUCUGUUUUGUUGCUACAAAGUUUCACCUCUAGAUUUUCACCCAGGUAAUUAACAUAAUGUUAUUGCUUUAAAGCAUGUCAUUUGCUCAGUAACAGUCCCAAUUACUCAGGGGUUACUGACUUUGGACUUCAAAAUGCACUCGCUACAGGAAGUACGAUGACCCUAGUUACUACAGAAGCAUUCAUGGAUCAAAGACCUUGCAGUCAGCCUUCUCGUCCCGACCAAUCAUUAACCAGGGGGAACAUUGUGGAGCUGCCACUGAUUUUUCCUGAGUUACUUUAACAGUCUGACCACACAGCAUGUUCCUUUGUCCUUAGAAGAAUUCCAGAAGAUUAGUCAGCUAAACCUGAUAGGACUUGCUGGAGAGGACUUGGCUCAGCCUAGUAGGAUCUAAGGUUGGAAAUACUUUUAAGUGCUGCAAUAUCUGCCAUAUGUUCCCCAUUCUUACUGUUUUUUUUCCAUUAGCCCAAACAUAGCAAUAAACAUUUUUUCCAUAUCUACUUCACUGAAAGUUUUAUUGACCUGACAUUGCAGCUGUGUAAGAGAAAAGAACCACAAAUCAGUUUUUGUUUCAGCUAUUGUCUUCGCAACAGGUUUUUGGAUACUUUUCAAUAUAGAUAGGGAGAGAAAGAAACGAUGUGUAAUUUUUCAGGCCAAAGAACUGGAAAGAAGUACAAAAAGAUAGAAUGAUAAGGUGAAGCUAGAUCAGGAUUUAGCUGCAUGCGAGUGAAUAAGAUGAGUGGCAGUUAGUUAUAAAGAUUGUAGUGAAUAAGUAGAGAUGGCAGAAUGGUGGGGUGAGCUGGAGAGUGAGGUGUGGGCAAGUUUAAAGUUGAGAGAAACUGAGAUCAUUUCCUGCAUCUGAGAGGCCUUCCUACCCUUCAGUCUGCUGAGGGGACAAGCUCAAUGGGAAUCUGAACUCCAGAGGCCAUUUACAUGGGCUCUCCCUAAGAGCUCGAACUGAAUCUAGGCUACUUUAUUGGGUGCUGACUUGGUAUAUCCACAGAUGCAAUAUUCAAGGCAAAAGAUUCUCAGCUGUGCUUCUGGUGGGACAAAUCAUUCCCAGAGUAUUUCUCUAAAUGGGGGAGCUCUGAUGUGAUGAUCACCUAAUGCUUUUCACCUGAGCAGAUAGCCCUGGUUUCAUUUGUAGUCAGAUCUUAUUUUGUAUCACUAGGAAAUGCAUUUCUUCACCCACACAAUAAAUUAAAAAAACAUACGCAUAUCUACAGAUUCAUUUAUAUAAGCACUACAAAAUUGAGAUUGUCAGGAAGCAUUGCAUUAAAACAUUCAUUCCUGAUUAGAAGAUGGCAUGCUGAGUACUUCAACUCAUUUCUCUCUUCAAAACAAGCUAUUAUUAGGGUAUCUGGCCCUUCAUACUUAAUGAGAACUCUUCUAUUGAGAUGCAACAAUGAUGCAUCCAAUAUAAAAUUUUGAAAAAAUUUUUUUUAAGCAUUUCCUUGCAAAAUAAAAGGCUGAAUCCUGCUUUUUUUCAAGGCUCAAAUAACACUGAAUACAUUGGUUUGAAUCUGGAUAAUGCCAUUUUCCCUUCGGGAUCUCUUUAACUCCCAUAUGGAAUCCAGUCCAUUUUGCCACCCUUUCAGGUUAAUGUCAUGCGUCAAGGAGCAUGGACUAAAUCUUGCUUAGACCAGAAGACCGAGCCUUUUGGAUACCAGAAGGAGCAUAUCCUAUGGUUUAGAGGGAAGAACCAGGAAAUAUGAGGUCCUAGGGCUGGAAUGCCUGAAGGAUUAGAAAACAAAUUUUCUUCUAUGGAGCUACAAUUAAAUCCACCUUCCAACAUGGGCAGAGGCAGCUGGAUUUCAAGAAGACAGUGCUAAUGGCCAGUUACAGAUACUCGACUUCUUCCAGUGGAUGGGUUAGCGAAAGCAGGAAAGAGGAGUAGAAAUCACUUGCACAUGGCUGCAUGGGAGCCAGCAGCCAAGCUGGACUGAGCUUUCCCCACAGUAACCCUGAGAAUGAUCAGGCCUUGGUUUGGUGCAUGCAAUAGGUACUGAUUUCAAAGGGAUCUUUUUCAGUGAGCUUCAAAGCCUUGUGCUGCUCUUCCUGAGAUCACCCAGUGGUCCUAGUGAUCUCAGCCCAUUUUAGCAGCAUUUACUGCAGGUGGGUCUGCUCUCCCCUCCUCCUCCCCCAAAUCAGAACGCAGCCACCAUCUGUGAUGUUACAUCCCUCUGCAAAGAAAAUCUGCUCUGCUUGUUCAUGGUAACAUUCCCUCUUUGUGCACUCUGCUUGGUUGAUCAUUUUGCCUACCUCAGCUUCAUCAAAUACUGCUUACAUGAUAGCUAGCGAAAUCACAGGGAUUGAAUGAGCAAGAAAGUGUUAAAGGAAGAGGACUUUUGUUUCCUUUGUUCUUGAAUUUGAAGUGGUUUUAAAUUUAGAAAAACGCAGGAUCCAAAAAUGCAUGAACUGAAUCUACAGCCUAUUAUGACUAAUGUGUUAUAAGUACUCUGAUGGAGGCAGACAUUGAAAAAUUGCUGCAGUCAAACCUGUGAGUAUUAAAUAUGUUCUCUUACAUGGUCUUGGAUAUUUCUUGAGCAUGACAUUGAUAAGGGAAAACCACAUCAUGUCUUCAUUGCGGAUAUAAAAGAUAGUGCAGUAUAUAUAGGUAAGAAAUGGUUAAAUAAUAUUUACUUUAAAUGUGUAUCUACAGAAUUUCAUGCAGAUAAUGCUCGUAAAAAAAAAUGAGCAGGAAGUAUUUUUGGUGUCGCGUGCUCUUCAGCCACGCCUUAUUCAAUGUUGUGUCACUCGUAUUUCAAAGGUGAUUUGUUCUGCGUAUUUUGCAACACCUUUUGCCUUACAUUUGAAAUGCAGACUUCGGUGUCCUCUGUAAAAUGUCCAUACAAUGAAAUCAGGGCAAGAAAAAGAGGACCUGAUCCUGUAGUGAGACUGCACUGUUGGAAUGGUGUAUUUUGCUGUAGCACCUGAUAUGCCUGAGAAUAGUGUUCUGGGUUCGGGGACCACUUCAUUAUUGAUGCAGACACUACUUGUUUGCACAGCCCCUUCUGUUGCUCAAGGAGGGCUAAUGUGGAGAACACUGACCUCAGCCUGCCUCCUCGUUCCAGGUAAAACUGUGUUUGCAUAUUACAGAACUCAGCAGCCCAAAGAUGCAAACUGUCACUGUGCAAAAUUGCAUUAACUUGUAAAGCAGUAAGGCAGUGUCCCUCAGGCCAAACUGCAGAGCUUCAAAUCAGGGAGUAAAGUAGAGGUGAAUAAUAACAUAGUAGCAAAGUAGAACAGAGGGAACAGUACUGUUAGUUCCUAGUACUCUUGCAGAGGCUGCUUCAGAUGGCCACUGAAACAGCCAGCAACACAGCCUUGGUCUUUGGAGAACAGGGUCACGCUGCUGAUAGCUGCUCCAGGUCUUCCCUCUGUACAGGAGAUGUGUUGGCAUUGUCAUGACCACAGCCUAAAGGAGUGCAACUAGAAAGAAAAUUUUCUUCUCCUGGGAGUAUAAAUGCUACUAAGAGUUGCAGUGCGUAACAGCUACCUAGCCUGCUGUGUACAUUGCUGCUCUGAUGUUUGAGAAAAGCAGGAUUGGAAAAGCAGUUUGUGUUUCAGUGUUAUGGCACAUUGAAUAUAUUAACUAAUGAACCAACUGUGCCAUUUUCCUACAGUUAUGUUGCUGAUUACCUCCAUUUUAAUAUUAACGACUCAUUCUGUUAGAGGAUUCUCUGCUUUAAGAGAGGAAGAGAAAUGCAAAUAGUCUUCUGUGGUUGCAUGCUCUCAGCCUCCUUCUGUGAAUGUCCUAUGGAAGUACAAGGAUCAGAAAUUCCACAUACUAAAUGAUAAUGGUGCAAGUCACUAAGAGAUAACGUAGCUUGCCAGGAGUGUGCUGACAAAACCAAAGUAAGAUACUGUACACCCUUAAGAUUUCAGGCUACCUCGGCAACACUAAGAAACUUCAGUGAUUGAAAAUCAUAGAAUAUCCAAGUUGGAAAUGACUCAUAAGGAUCAUUGAAUCCUACUCCUAAGUAGGAAGCCUAGAGUCUAAACCAGAAUUACUCUUUUCUUAAAACAAAAAAACAACACACCAAAAUUUAAGCAACAUUUCCUCAAACUAAAUACAGUCCCCACCUCUUCCUACUUUUGCAUUAGAUUUCUUUUUUUUCUCAGAAUGGACACAGCAGUGAAUUACUUCCUCUGAUUCAUGGGUUGAAAAUACUUCAAGUCUCUUUUUCAGUUUGAAAAUGAACCUACAGAGUGGAAAUCCAGGCUGAGUCAGCCUUUAUGUCAGUUUUCUGUGAAAGAAUCAUCCUUAUUUCCAAUUAUCUAACCCAGUGGCUGCUAAAGCAUUGGUGCUUCUAAGUUACGAACAUGAGAAAUUAGUUCCUAAGGUAAAUGGUCUUGCUGUGCUUCCAUUUUCAAAUAUAAUUCCACUGAAGGACACUUGAUUUUGAAAGUGCAAAUCAACAUGGAGAACCUUCUUUGACAUGAAGUGCUGUUGAGCACUGCUGUUUUAUGAAGGACAAAUUAAAGAUCUCAAAACGUGAUUCCUUCUGAGGCCACUGCUUGACCUCUCUCUGAAUAGGUCUUGCAAAGAUCUUGGCUUAUCAAGGCAGCCUGGGGACCUUGACAAGCACAGAUUUUUGGCUCCAGCAAUGAGUUCAGAAUCAGUACAGGGAAGUGCUGUGAUUAGAAGCAGUGUGUUUGGAUGAAAUUCAGAGCUCUCGUUCCAACGCCAUCCCAGGCAGAUAAUUUCUGGUACUUCUAAAACACUGAAAGAGUGAAAUCUGAAAGUGAAGGAUCUGUAGGUAGCGACUCCUUUGAGCACAUAGGAAAAAGAGACCUUUAGGUUAGACAGCAUCUCAGAGAUGUCUUGAGAGUCCUGAGUGCUUAUGUCUCUGUACAUCUAGCCUGACAUCAUGCACUUCAUUCAAAAGCUGUUCUCAAACGCAGUAAUUUCAUCAGUGUAACAAGAUCGCGUCUCUGGUGCUGCAUCUGCUUCACGCACAUAAAAGGCACUUGCACUUCCUCAUCACACUUACCCAAAUGAGUAACAUCCUCAUUCUCACAUGACAUUGAGAGUUGCCCAGAUGACGACUUGCUCGCAGUUACUGUGCCUAUUUCCUGCACGUGCAGGGUUUGUAUGUGCUAUUGGGCUUUUCCAGAUGUAGCUCAUGAAGUAGAAGACCUACAGUCCCAUUAGAAUAGAUGGAGACACAGGGAACUGGAUGUAUCGAAGGCUCUAGCUAGUCAUCUGUGCUCUCAGCAACGACAACACCAUGGAUUUGCUCAUUCCAUCCAAAAGUGGACUUCCCAUCAAAAUACUUUGUGCAUAGAUUUAGCAAAAUUUGUAUGGGAAGUGCUAAAAAUAAUAAUAGUGAAGCUGACAAAGUAAGAAGGAUUUUGUGUUAAUCUCAGGACAGAUAAUUAUUCAACAUUUCCUUCUUAGGCACUUUUCUUGAUUUACUUUCUCAUUUUCUAUUUAAUGCCAGACAUUUUCUUUCACUGCCUUAAUUAGUCCAUCCGUAAGUACAGAUUGGCUCAAAAUAUGCCACUUUAUACCAAAGAAAUAUCACAGUAAUCCUUACUGUAUUACCUUUUACCUUAAGAGCAGCUGUUACUCUAUUUUGAAUUAAUUUUUUGUUUACUAAUGUUUUGCUUUGAACUCUCAUUAUAAUACAUAUUUUUAAAGUGUGGCUUCUUUCUGUUUUUUGCUCUUCCUUCUUCAAUAGUAUUUUUGAAAUUCUUGUAAAGUUUUGAAACACUUGCACUUGAAUUUGUGCUUUAUGCUUAAAAGAAAAUCAAUUUUGCUGUAAACCAAGCACAUCUACAUUUUCUUUUAAAAAUGUCCUGUGUUAAAAAGAAACAAUAGUAUCAUAGUCUUCACGAGACUGGGGCAAAACCUCUCUACUUGACAGAAGGUUGAUGAAGUUGCAAAAAAUCCAAAAAAUCCUAUGAUUCAUUAGUGUGAUGAAACCUGCAAUCUACUGGUAUCACCAGGUAUAGCUGUUCAUUAUGGCUAACAUGUUAUGUAUAUACAACCAGCACUUCCUUCUGAAAAUACGAUUCUGGAUGUUCCAUAAGGUGACAACUCAAGGAGGAAAGCUGGGACUAUGCAAACCAUGCUGGAUGAGAGGGAGCUGCGAUCCAAACUCUGGGGAUGAAAUGCCAGAGACAGAAUCACAAGAUCAGCACUCUUUGUCUUGGUGCUGGAAGCAGACUGCUAGCAAUCAAGGAGCAUAGCCCCCAGAAGAGAGAGCUGCUUCUGCCACAUUGUGUGUUGUAUUCCGUGACAGGCUUAUCCAGCAGAACCAGGGAAUAACCUAACUGGACUGAGACUGCAAAGACCUGUGAAAAUCCUUAUCUACAAAAAUGAAAAGUGUGUUGAGCACAAAACUGACUGUAAGUAUCAGGACAGUCAAGUUACCCUAGCACCUAGAAGCGUUGCUGGAGGGUAGGACAAGGACAAUGUCACUCUUAUUUUGAGAGGAAUUACUCUAAGUUCCCUAAAGGUAGCUAAUUCAAUGCUACUGGUCCAGACUAACAGGGACAAUGCUGACAAAGAGAGAAGGGACUGUGUGAAAGUCUGUGUCUUUUGAUUCACUUUGUUUGAAAGGGUGGGCAGUCUGUAACUAGUGAUCUACUAUCUCUGAACUCUGGUAACUGCUACUUCAACCCACAGCAAGGAGCAUUUGCAUCAGUGUUGCAGAAAAAACCCUUCGCUCUCAUCACAGAGACUUGAGCGUAUGACGUAGAGCGAAUCCAGAAUGUCUUAGUCUGUAAAAUAUGUGAUGUUUGUAUUUGUAACAUUUCAUUGUUUAAACAUCAUGAAGAAACCAUUCUUGCUUACAAAACAUGCAUUUUUUUUUUCGUAAGCAAGACUUCCUGUAUCGGGCUCCGGUAUCUUUUUCUCUGUGCAAAUGUUUUGAGCAACUGUGAUGUAAAGAGCUGCUAGCAGGCCUCCAGGAGGAGUUCAGAAUGGAAGUUAAACAGCCUGAGCUGUUAUGGUUCAGCAAACAACAUCUCUUUUGUCUGGUAGCAGUUUCUUAAUAAUUUUGGAACACAGAUGUCUCACAGCUAGGUGCCCCCGGUUUGCUGUAACAUCAACAUGGGGGAUUAAGACCAUGGACUCCAGCUUGGAAAUCCCAUGUCCAGACAGAAGAGAGCUGAAACAGAUACAUGUCUAGCUACUACUAGAAAAUAUAUAGUCUGUGAUGGUCAUUGAAUUACAUAAUCUUCCUAGUUUUUUUCUUUUUAUUUUUCUCUUCUGAUUUUUUGCUUCCUACAAAAGGCAAAACCAAGAAGAGAACUGAUUGUGCCUCUCCCGAGUCAUGUAAGGUGAGAAAUUAAGCGAUGACCCUUGAGGAUGACAAAGUUAGGAAGGAAUCUUUCUGUUCUGUCAUGAUUUUGGACAUUUUUCUGGUAUAGGAUCUAUCAGAUAUAUAGGAGUCUGUUUAGGUUCAGGAAAUGUCAGUGGAGAACAGUUUGCAGAGACAUAUUUGGACUCCCCCUCUUCCCUGGAGCGUAAGUGUUUGAGUGGCUAAUGCCAAUUAAGUCACAAACACUUGCUAAUUAGUAAAUUUCCUCUGAUGGAUCAGCUCAGUUCCCAAGUCUGAAUUAUUAUGUGACAGUAUACCCUCUAUUUCUCCAGUUUUCAUCAUGGCUAAUAGUUUUUCUUGCUUUCAGUCCUGAAGCCUUAUUUGCAGUAGAAGAAUGCAAUUAAACUUCUGUGUUUGGUUGGCAGGUGAAAGGACCCUUGUUCACAGAGGAUAGUUAAACUUUUAAAGAGAUUAGCAGUUCUUCAAAAUAAAAGGCACUAAUGAACCAAGUGCUUUCAUCAAAACCAACCAGUAUUCCUUCAGAAUAAUACAGCACUUUCAGUCUUGGUUUUUCUUUGCAGCUUCUUCCUUUAAGUGACUUAGGAGAAAAAAAAAAAAAAGCAACUUCUGAGGGUGUUUUUGUCCCUGCAAGUGGUUCAGAUGGAGUGCAUUUCCAAAGAAGGAGUUAAUGAGGUUCUCAAUCUGUUUGCCAGUCUCCUCUCCCACCCCUGCUUCUCAACAAGAACAUAGCUUGGGUUAGUGUCCUAUUUCAUUACUCUCCCUAGGAGCAGGGAAAACAGGACAGGCCAUCCCUUCUGAGUGCAGGAUGGGUGAUGUGAUACAGUUACAUUAUCUAAGAUUGUGUCCAGAGUGCAGGUGAUGUGGAGAUAGAAAGCAGCAUAUCUCUGUUAAAUGUGCGCAAAGCACAUGCACUCUUUAUGAUUUCUGCUGUCACGAGCAGCCCUUGGAAGCAAUGGCAUAACGCUGUUCUAACUUUGCAUAUCCUCCUGAAGGUGAAUCUAGCUGACUCCAAUUUUGAUCAUGGGACAUGACAAUGGGUGGGAAAGAUAAAGUUUCUUAUGCUGGCUGCUCUCCAAAAUUGUGUUAAAAAUGUCUGUAAACAAGCCAGCCUACCCCUCAACUCUCUCCCUGACAUUUCAGAGGCUAAAAAAUGACAACUUCAGUUUGUCAGAAAACAGUGUCUAGAAGAGUUGGCAGUCUUCCCUCUGAAAGGGAUUUAAAUGAAAGAAAAUUCAAAUCCCUGCUAUCUCCAGUGGUGUGAUGUUGAAGCAGUAGGUGUCCUCUGCAGAGGAAUCUUCAGAGCUGCACUGAUUCGUGAGAUGUCCUCCAGAGUUGGUUCUUGCUGGUAUGCAAGAUCAGACCUCAAGAUUUGGGGCACGGAUAUUCACAUCACUCCCUGCCUCUGCUACCUUCAGCAGGUAGGUAGCACCUUUCACCUUUGCCUUAUCUAGUGAUCAAUGAUGCACAUAAUCCAGAAGGAUGCACCUUACUUUUGGUGGCAGUGUGCACAUGGGAACAUCCAUGCUCUCUGUCCUCCUGUCCUUGCUUCCCCAUUGCACUUCUCGAAGGCCAGAAAGAGAUCUAACACUUUUAAUUCCACAAAGCAAUUUCUUCUCUCAGUGGUGGUUCAGAUUUCUGUCUUGGCUUAUGUUCAGGGAAACUAACCACAUCAUGCUUUUGGGAACCAGACCUGAAGAUUUUGAGAGCUGUCUCUGCUUAAGAAAGCAUGUGACAGUGUCUGCAGUCUCUAUAGUCUUUGGUUACAGGAAAUAAAUAUAGAUCACAACUCCAUUUUUAAAAGAAGCUCUAAUUCAGUCUGAAGUCCUGUCAAGAUAAGUUCUGACCUAUGGUUUCUACACAAGGCCACAUUUUAAGUGAGCAAUAAUUUGGAUGUGGGUUGCCUUGGGGCUGGUCUCCUCACUACCAUUUUACCCCAUGAUGUCACCACUUAUUUCCCUAGCUUGGCUUUCAGUUUACAUAUGGGAAGGUGUGAGAAUCUGUGUCAGAUGCGCUAACAUGACUCUGCAGAUUAGUGCUUAUAUCGCAGAGUUUUCACUGAUGUUAAGUGACUAAAUAACUGCAGGUCUGGGUCUAUACACUUAAUCACUUAAUAAAGAUUGCAGCUGUUGUUGACUUCCAGCCUCCCCAUUCUCCUUUGCUGUUGUUGAUCCAAGGGAGCACAUUACUGAAGUGUUUAAUGCAUUGUUUCAGACCCAGUGAACAGGGGUCAUGUCAGCUUCUUGUAAUGAUUUACCACUGAUCGGUGGCAGUGUUAAUGUUCUGCAUAUCAGACUUUUUUCCCCCUUGCCUGCACUCAGAAAUGCAGUGCUGAAAUCAGCAAGAACUGGAUUUAACACACAAGUUUUCCUAGUGAGAAGAGUACCUCCAAAAGUUAAACCAAAGGUGACCUGUGUGCCUCGUGUGAGGAGGAUCAGCUCUGCUCCAGAACCCAUUGCUGUUUCACUGACUGUGUCAGGCAGAAAACUAAACAGCUGGCAUCUCAGCCCAUCGACAGACAGAUCACAUGCCUUCCACUGAUGACUUGUUCCUUCUGAUGCUAGCCUUGCUGCAGCUCAGAGUCCCUGCUGCUCUCCCUUCCUUCAGAAAAGACUCCUGCUGGGCUGGUGAGGUUUGCUCGCUCACCAAAAAUCACAAAGCUGAUCCGUGGAUGUGCAAGUCCUGCUGCUGAGAGGCUGCCUUCUGCUAGUGGAGUGCCACAGGCUGAAUAUGAAACUGAUCUGCUCUCCAAGCUUCUGUGCCUGGACUUGAACCCUGCUCUCUUUCUACUUUUGGGAGUCACCAAAUUCAAAGCCAAGAUCCAAGCACUGAUCAAGCACUUGCCACUCAGAAGGGAGGAAUGCUCACACUGGUGUCAUUUUAAGUCAACAGCAAUUUAAGUAGAGACUGUAGUUGAGGAGAAAGUGAAGAUUCAGAUAUUUCAUAGAAACAGAAGAGAACAUUUAGUUACAAGCUAUGAAUUGCACUCAGUGGAGCAGACCUUGUUUACACACACAAAGUGUCAAGCAGAAUUCUACAUUCAACUCUGUUUUCUUCACAGAAAGAUCAAGUGGAGAAGAGCUGGAAUAAUCAGAAGACACGCUGUCUGGGAAGCGCACCCAUUCUGUUCUUACAGGAUACCUUCCACUGCAAGUACCAGACCUCAAAACAGCCCAGAGAAAAAGCUUCUCAGAUCCAAGCAAUUUAAUGUGAUUUGGCUUGUAGUUAGUUCCCAUGGAAGUAAUGAAAGAGGUAAUUAAAGACUGGACAACUAUCUUAAGUAAAACAUUAUUCAUUAGAGCAAAAGCAUUUCAGAGAAACUGUUUUGAGGCUGUGAAAGCCAACUCCAUGCCUGUCUGUGCAUCACUGUGGCUGCCCAUUUCCUGAGUGGGGAACGUAGCAUCUUUCUGUAGGUCCCACCACAGCCUGCUUGGUCCAGCAGGCAUAAAGUGUGCACGAGCACAUGCUGUGGAAAGAUCAGGUAAGCAGUAGGAUUUUCCUGCACUCUGUCUUCUUUAACAACACUACUCCUGAUUGCAAGCUGCAGUUUUUCCUCACCCAGUUCUCCUAUACUGUCCUGAAACACCUGCCCUGAAGUUUCUUCUAGCAGAACAGUGGGGAAAAAAAGCUGAAACUAUGUUUUACAGAUAAUGACGCUUGUCUGAAGAAAGUGGAUCACCUUGGUUAAAAGGUCUGAUACAGAGAGAGUGAAAAGGGGUCAUCCAGGAGCAUCUUUGACACUUUGAAUUUGAUUGGUACCCUGCUUUUGAGAAAGCAAAAAUAUUACCAGCCUUAAAGAUGUCCAAAGAAUUUAAUGGAGAGUGAUUCUAAAAUAACAACAGAGCAGGUAGUAAGUUUCUUCUCUGAAAAGGAGUGGAACAUUUGCUAUUCAGUCGAGGAUCUGUGCCUUUUAUAAGGUCCUAAAGGUGGUUUUUCAGAAAAAAAACCCACCAAUUUAAAGUAUUGAAAACCACUUCAAGUAAAUGUAUCAAGGUGAAGAUAAAUAGCAGCAUAUCUGUAUCUGUGUGCACAUCACAGCAACAACCCAACCACCACCAUAGUAUUAUUAAAGAUGUAUGGAGUGUCUAACUACAGCUCUCUAUAGUUAUUCUGAGAAUGUGUUUGCCUACCCAACAUUUGUCCAUAAACAAUUGCUUCUAGUCUCAGUUGAAGUGAGCUGUACUGGUACUAGCUUCAUUUACAGCAUUCAGCUUUAACCCUUGCAGUUAAUUUUACACUGCAGCCUGCUUUACCAUCCCAUAGCACAUCUUAACUAGAACAAUAACUUGGAAAUUCACUGUGUUUCACUCUACCACCAAUAAUUAUUUCUGUCCUUACUAUGUGUCUUGUUAUCUGCAUAUGAAGCCUAUGGAACCCAUGAAAUCUCAGAAGAAAAAAACAUCACAGGAGAUCUUUCUAAGCAAGUGUAAUGCGAUGGAAAGUACAGCAAUAAUAGUGGGGUGAUACAAUCCUAGGCUGUAGCAAAUGAGAACAAGCCCAAAAGCAGCAGCCACAGAUGCAGAAACAAAGGAAGGAAAACUACUUACCUUUGGAAGGCUUCCAUUAGGUAGAGAUCUCUAGCAAGAUACCCUUGCCUCCACUGCCAACCCUUAAAUGAGGUCUGGAAAGGGGUGGAUCCUGGCUCCGCCCCUUCUGGUCACUCAGGUGCACUACAUGCACCUGAGCUCCCCUGGGUUGGCCCUGUCUUCCCACCGGGUGCUCAAUCACUUAACAUUUCCACUACAGCAAGUCUGUGUAACUAUCAACUAAAUCAGGACAACCAUCUUCCAUGUCAAUCUUUUUCAAUCCUCCAUUCUUACUAGUUGAUGCUAAAUCAUACCCUUUUUACCUGAAAAUACUGACUCUUACUUGAGAUAAAAUAACCCAGACAUGGAAAGUUCACAUGUUCAAUGCCUCAUUGAUCCACAUGAAUGAAAAUACUUGCUGUAUUACCCCGUGGAAUGAGGGAAGGGUCAACAAUGUUCCUUCGAUGAGAGGAUACCUCAAAAACUAUUUUGUAGUGGCAUUGAUACUGUACUUGAAUGGGACUGCCAAUGUGUAAAAGGGAUACUGGAUCAACACAGGCUUUGCAGGGAGGAAUUGGUGUUACUGUCUUUUGUAGCAUUUGUGGGAUGCAGCUGUCAUGGUUACAGGUUCUUAUGUCUCAAGCUUUUGUGGCUGAUUGUGGUACCUCUGUCUCUACGUUGAAUUCAGGCUAAUUGCAAGAGUGACUGUUCCUUGGUCAACCACCAUGCUGUGCUUUUAAUAUCACCAGGAGGAUCAUGAGUAACGAGGAAAUAGAUCAGGUUUUCAGUGCUGUAACUGUGGGACUGCAGGCCAGUGCAACAGUGCAAUGAAAACACAGUUAAUGUCCUCUAGAAAUUCUCCAGGUGCAUCUUUUUCUUCACAAUUAUAGGUUGUUAACUUGUUGACAAAGUGCUGUGUGUGUAGACUGAGAAAAAGGAGGAAAAGACAAGAAAAUUGUUAACAUUUCAAAACAAUUAAGUUAUCAUGAAAAUUGUUAACAUUUCUGUAUUCUUUUGCCAUUAUGGCUGGCUGACUCACUUACUGCAAUAUUAUUAAGAACCUUUUUUAAAUAGGACCAACACCAGCAAGAAGCAAUUCCAUUAGAGUUGAUCUUGUCUUAGGGUAGAAAGAAAGACCAGGUGACAUCUUGAGAUCCCUUCCAAAAUAGUUUUCCUCCUAAAACACUCUGAAAAACUGUUCUUUUGGAUCAGUGGUAAUUUGCAUUCAUUUUACAUGAGUGGAAAUGAAUACACCAUCUUCUUGCAAUAGAGGUCAGUUUAUGUUGCAUUCAGAACAGGCUCAUUUUUAGCUACUAGUACUCAAGAUAUUCUAACACCUGAAAUCAUCUGACUUUGAUGUUAUGCAUGCUACUUUACAGAUUUUUAAUGAGAAAACCUCGUAUUUAAUAUAUUUUGGAUGUAGAAACUAGUUGAUGAGUAAGCUUAAAACAUUCACUAAAAUGUCCUUCAUAUAGCUCAAUGUUAUCUUUAUUCUGCCCAUUUAAAUUCUUUCUUCUUCCAUUUUUUCUUUGUGUUUCAAUUAAAGUUAAAAUUGAAUGACUAAGAAGAAAAUACUUUUGCAGAACAGUAAAUCAUCAGUUCCUUUGUGUAAAGUGAUUUUUCUUUUCUUAAACAAACACAAGCCCAGCAAAAUCCACUGAAGAUCUUUGUUAUUUUUCCCAUAUUAUGUCUGACAAAAUGAUGUUUAUAAUUAACUUCCAUUAACCUUUUACAUAAACAGAAAAUAAAAUCAAAUUGUAUACAAAUUCUUCAUAAUUUACAAGUUAACCUUAAAAGUUCUUUAAAAAAUUUCUACUUGUGAGCAGUAGAAAAAAAUAGUGUACAGUAUGAUCUCAAACAGUAGUAAUGACUCAGAACAUACUAUCUAUCUACUUUUUGUUUUUCUUUGUAUGGCAUUUUUCUUCUUUGUUUGCAGGCUCUUGGUAUUUCCAUCUUGAGCCUUGACUACAAAAAUUCUUAAUACAGCCAAGAUGGGACCCUAGAACUGUUCAUAACACUCAUGUGGAGUGAGAAGUAUUAUUCAAAUUUGUUAGAAAGUGUUUUUGUAAACAGAAUGAGUGACAUGAAGACAACCUGCUAGAUUUUCAGAGAGGAAUUAGAUAACAGGAAAGGGUUUCCCAAGAAUGGAUUAAUUGAGUUGUGGGUCUGUGUCUGUGUAUAUGAAACUCUGAUGCUGAGUAUGGAGGCUGGUGCAACUGUAUGGAGACAUAUGGGCUUCUUAUCUGAGGUGUGAAGGUGCAAGUUCAGGUAGCUGAAACCACUGUUUGGGACUGUACUCCAAGGAUCAACUGGGUAACACUCUGGAUAUGUAUAAUUUCCUCUUACCUGUAGGUACAAGACUUUUGGAGAACUAUCAUUUGCAGAAUGCAGCUGCCUUUCAGUGGUUGGUGUGUACAUGUGUAAGGAGUUCUGUGCAGUGCUUGAAUGUGCAGCACUCCAGGAUGUCUUGGUACAUGGGUAGAUUAAGGAACCACAAAGCUUGAGGGAGGGGAGUUUGCAUCCUUCGGGGAAAUUCUGAUAUCCCUCUGUAAAUGUGUGUUGAUAUUCUCUCUCCUGCGUGUUGACCUCUUUACGUUGGAUGGAGCCUAGAGGUGUAGGUAGAUAAAAUAUUUUUCACUCAUUUAUUUGAAACCAAAAAUUACUAAGGACCAUAACCUGUAAAGUGCACCAGCAUCCAUUUGACAUGUUCAUAGGUGAAAUAAAUUGACAUGGUGCCUUUGAACCCAGCAGGCUUGUUUAUGGACCCACAGCAGAGAGCAGACUAUCAUGGAGCACAUGUGAUUUCUUCAUGUCCAGCUGGUACCAUCAGAUAUUUCUUUGCGCUGUUGCCAUGUUAUGUCCUAUGAGAAACUCAAGAGUUGAAUGAUUGAGAUUAUUACCUGCUCUUUUGUUUUCCUCGUGGCCGCUGUGCAGAAUAACUGAAUGAACUCUGCUAAAAACAGACAGAAACAUACCCUUUCUUUUCAGGCUUCCUGCAAACCCACCCCUCCUUUACAAAGCCAUUUUGAAGGGUGGUGGUAUGUCUAACUAAAACAAAAGAGAAGUGCUUUGCUUUUAUAGCUAGACGACCAAUCCUGGCAAUCAAAGAAAUCUUUUAUUUAUCUUGAUGUUAAACUGGAUUGCUGUAGAAAAAACCACUGGCUUUGAACAUCUUAUUUAUGAACAGAUCCUUACCCAGCUUAGGAAAUGUUUGUCAAAUGAGACUGUGUUUACCAGU